UUGAUCCUGGCUCAGAACGAACGCUGGCGGCGUGCUUAACACAUGCAAGUCGGAUGCGAACGGGCUUUUCGGAGCGCAAGUAGCAUGGCAGACGGGUGAGGAGCACGUACCUGACCUGGCUCUUAAUGGGGGAUAGUCCUUCGAAAGAGGGUUGAAUACCGCAUACGCUCAGGAAGGCGACCUUCUGAGGAAAGCUGGCCUCUGCCGAUGCAGGCUGGUGUUGAGAGGGGGGGGUGCGGCCUAUUAGCUAGUUGGUAGGGUAAGAGCCUACCAAGGCGACGAUGGGUAGCUGGUCUGAGAGGAUGAUCAGCCACACUGGGACUGAGAGACGGCCCAGACUCCUACGGGAGGCAGCAGUGGGGAAUUUUGCGCAAUGGGGGCAACCCUGACGCAGCAACGCCGUGUGAGUGAGGACGCCUUUCGGGGUGUAAAGCUCUGUCAGCAGGGACGAACGUGUCGCGUAGAAGAUGCGCGGGCAUUGACGGUACCUGGUGAGGAAGCCCCGGCUAACUCCGUGCCAGCAGCCGCGGUAAGACGGAGGGGGCAAGCGUUGUUCGGAAUUACUGGGCGUAAAGCGCGCGUAGGCGGCGAGACAAGUGCCGAGUGAAAGCCCUCGGGUUAACCGAGGAAGGGCUUGGCAGACUGUGUGGCUAGAGUUUCGGAGGGGGAGGCGGAAUUCCUGGUGGAGCGGUGAAAUGCGUAGAGAUCAGGAAGAACGUCAGUGGCGAAGGCGGGCUCCUGGACGAGAACUGACGCUGAGGUGCGAGAGCGUGGGGAGCGAACGGGAUUAGAUACCCCGGUAGUCCAGGCCGUAAACGCUGGGCACUAAGGUGUGGGGCCGAGGACCGGGUCCGUGC
rnacentral:rRNA from 1 species